rnacentral:rRNA from 1 species
UACAGGGGGUGCAAACGUUGCUCGGAAUCAUUGGGCGUAAAGCGCACGUAGGCGGUCUGUUAUGUCGGAUGUGAAAGCCCUCGGCUCAACUGAGGAAGUGCAUCCGAAACUGGCAGGCUAGAGUACUAAAGAGGGUCGCGGAAUUCCCGGUGUAGAGGUGAAAUUCGUAGAUAUCGGGAGGAACAUCUGUGGCGAAGGCGGCCAUCUGGACCAGCACUGACACUGAGGCACGAAAGCGUGGGGAGCAAACAGG